rnacentral:lncRNA from 1 species
CAUAUGAUCUUUUAGUAUCAGUAAUACUCAGUGUCAUAUCAGGCACCGAUCAUGGGUUAGCUUAUGAUUUUUCGGGACCGUAAGCACCAUGUGGCAUCCAGGGUGUACUCUCGGGGAAUUAAAAACUUGGUAUCAGAGCCUAAGGUUUUAAAGCAUCAUAGGGAGUCUAAAAGCCGUGUUGAGUAAAGUCUUGUGCAUGGGUGUGAAGCGUUCCACACUUAUGGAUAAAAGGCUAUGAGACG